rnacentral:rRNA from 1 species
ACAAGCGGUGGAUGAUGUGGUUAAUUCGAUGCAACGCGAAAACCUUACCACCUUUGACAUGUACGGAAUCCUCUAGAGAUAGAGGAGUGCUCGAAAGAGAGCCGUAACACAGGUGCUGCAUGGCUGUCGUCAGCUCGUGUCGUGAGAUGUUGGGUUAAGUCCCGCAACGAGCGCAACCCUUGUCAUUAGUUGCUACGAAAGGGCACUCUAAUGAGACUGCCGGUGACAAACCGGAGGAAGGUGGGGAUGACGUCAAGUCCUCAUGGCCCUUAUAGGUGGGGCUACACACGUCAUACAAUGGCUGGUACAAAGGGUUGCCAACCCGCGAGGGGGAGCCAAUCCCAUAAAGCCAGUCGUAGUCCGGAUCGCAGUCUGCAACUCGACUGCGUGAAGUCGGAAUCGCUAGUAAUCGUGGAUCAGCAUGUCACGGUGAAUACGUUCCCGGGUCUU